AGGAGUACAGAAAAGGCCUGCGCGUCCUCUCAGAGCCGAAAACCGCAGUGGUCUCUUCUUGGCCGUGUUCUGACGAAGCUGUUUAAAAGCUGUCACCCGACCAGUCGCCAUUGUAUGAUCCUGCUUUGCUUUUCUUCAAUGCAGCGGACCGCAACGAGAAUUUCAUUUGAAACUUGAUAAUUUAUAUGCUUAUUAUGUCUCCUCCACUGGAAUGUGCGUUCCAUGAAGGCCAGGGCUUGUGCCUUAAGACAGAGCCUGGCACAGAAUAGGCGCCUGAUGUAUAUUUUUGGAAAAUGAAUUGUGGGCUGAAAAUAAGCACGGAAUUUUCAAAAAAGUCACUAAAGAUAAAGUUUGCUGACCCUGGAGAGGAAGUCCUGACCCAUGGCUGGCAGAUGGAAGCCUCAGACAUGAAGAUUUCUCAAAGGCACCUGCUGCUGAGAGUGAUUAAUAUACUUUUGCAGCUGAAGCCUGAUGAUGGCUGGAGGAUAAAGGACAUCACCCAGAUGACAUUUUGCCUCCAAAGGUCUGGGGACCAACUGUGGAAGAACUGCAGGGAUAUGAUGUUAGCAUGUUCUUGUAUCUGGACAGGAUGAGAACUGUCUUAUAACUCUUUCUAUGGACUCAAGAUGGUACUGAAUCCAUGGGCUCACCUGCCCCCCCAGCUUUCUGUGCAGAAUCUGCCAAUGUGCCUUAAAUCCUAAAAGCAGUCGCUUAUCAUGUGCCACUGGAGCUCUUGAUUGGCUGUGACUGAGAUGGGACUUUAAAUUCUCACCAGGAUGCGGCUGUACUGACUUCUGAACCCUGCUGAUCUGUCCUCAACCACGGGCUUGGUUUUCUUCUGAAGAGCAGUGUUUUUAAAACUGUGGUUGAAAUCUAUUCUUGGGCUAUAAAAUCAGUUGUUGAGGAUGCAAUCAUUUUGAAUUAAUUUUUAAUUCAAAAAAUUAAAUAGACGAAAAUUUUAAUUUUUAAUUGAAAAAUAGACUAGAAAAAAAUCAGAGUGCAUCACGUACAGUAGGGCUAAGUAGUCCUUUCUGUAAAGCUGGUUUUGAAGGGUGUGCUGUGCAUUGGGCUGUGUGUUUGUACCGUGUUUCACAGUGAAACUGCUGUCACCUCUGCAGUACAGUGUAAAUCAACAAAGGGCCAGGCUUACUUAAGGCAGCUGCCAUCUCUGCUUGCAGAGGACAGACGGAAAAAUCACCAGGGAGGGUAGACUGCUACAUGCAAGUACUUGAGGGAGGCUACCUGGAAACUCAUAGAAAACCAGUUUGUGGAUGAUUGCAGAGCCUGAGUGGAGAGAUCAGUCUCGGACAGUUUUAUGGAUGGCAGCCCAGAGUCCGCCACACACAGCCCACCGCACCUGUCACCUGGGAAUAAGCAGGGUCUCUUUGGAACUGACUCUGGCCAGGAUUUGGUUUCCCUUUCCUUGAAAUGGGGAUAAUCACCCUCUUGACUAUUGCUGUUAUGAGGAAGGCCAAAUUAGGGGAAAAGAAUUCUGUCUUAUAAAGGAUGAACCACAAAGCUCAGGCUAGUAAUGGCCUCUCUUGGUGGUUUGGGAUGUGUGCUUUUAUAGGCAGUAAGGGAGAAAGAGAAAUUCUGCACUCAAAUCAAGUCUAGGCAAUGUAGGAGCUGGAAAGAGGUGUAUGGGAGCACAGACCCAGUCACCUGAAGGCAAGGAGCCUUUCUUCUUCCCCUUCUUGGCAGGCAACGUGGGCUCCCGGGCCCCAAGCAGGAUCCCUGAGGGCCAAUCUCUUAUCACACACUGAUCUGACUCAGUGACCUAGAAGAGGAUAGUCAGAGCCAAUGGGUUGAGGGGACAGGCUUGGAGAGCAUCUACUGUGUGCCUCUUUCGGGUAACUGGAAAUGUCUCCUGCCACUUUGUGAGGGGCUGGGCGCUGGGGAGUGGGAGCAGCAGGGGAGCACAGGGUGAUAGACUGUUCCCAGGGCUGUUGAUUUUGGAGCAGUCUAGGUGCCUUCUCUUCUUAGUGGGAAAGGAAGAAAAGGAGGGAAGGGAUGCUUUUCGAGGGGAACUCAAAAGCGUGGAGAAAAGAAUGCCCUAAAGAGCACCACCAAAGGACCUGAAGUGAAAGAUUCCAAUGAACAAAAUGUCCCCUAAUUCAAACAGUGCCACUAGCGACAAAACCUGUGAAGCUGUCCAGAGAGGCUCUGGCCAUGUCUGUCACUUCCCUUUUUACAGCUCUCACGAAGUUAGUGAAUGAAAAAGAUGAAGAUUAAUAAAAACAAAAGCAUGCUUCACGUUGCAGGCUGACCACGUCUCAUCCUCCAGUGACCCUGUGGCUGUCUCUGUAACGUCCUUUGGCAAUAGCAUGCUUUGAGAAGCUGUGGGGAAGGCUGGCCAGGGAGGGGACCCCACCCCUCAUUCUGCCAGCUGAUGCCCCAGAGGGCUGCAGGGCUCCUGCUUUACCCAGAGCUCUGGAGUGGCUGAGGCUGGGCCCUGGGGGUGGAUGGUUCUCGCUGAGAGGCAGGGGACAUCUGCUCAGUGCUAAGCUCCAAGGCAGACCACAGAGCAGAUAAGGACUAGUUGAAC
ensembl:lncRNA